UUACGGUCAUAUCACGUUGAUUCACCGGUUCUCGUCCGAUCACCGAGGUUAAGCAACGCCAAGCCUGCUCAGUACCUAGAUGGGUGACCGCGUAGGAAUACCUCUUGCUGUAU